GACGAACGCUGGCGGCGUGCUUAACACAUGCAAGUCGAACGGAAAGGCCCUGCUUUUGUGGGGUGCUCGAGUGGCGAACGGGUGAGUAACACGUGAGUAACCUGCCCUUGACUUUGGGAUAACUUCAGGAAACUGGGGCUAAUACCGGAUAGGAGCUCCUGCUGCACGGUGGGGGUUGGAAAGUUUCGGCGGUUGGGGAUGGACUCGCGGCUUAUCAGCUUGUUGGUGGGGUAGUGGCUUACCAAGGCUUUGACGGGUAGCCGGCCUGGGAGGGUGACCGGCCACAUAGGGACUGGGAUGCGGCCCAGAGGGAUACGGGAGGCAGCGGUGGGGAAUAGUGCACACUGGGCGGCGGCAGGAUGCAGCAUCGCCGCGUGCGGGAGGACGGUUGUAGGUUAGUAAACAGCGUGCGACUGGAAAGUACCGUGAGUGACGGUAACGGGUAAGGAAGCACCGGCUAACUACGUG
rnacentral:rRNA from 1 species